rnacentral:rRNA from 1 species
GCCCAGACUCCUACGGGAGGCAGCAGUGGGGAAUAUUGCGCAAUGGGGGAAACCCUGACGCAGCGACGCCGCGUGAAGGAAGAAGGCCUUCGGGUUGUAAACUUCUUUGAUCGGGGACGAAAAUGACGGUACCCGAGGAACAAGCCACGGCUAACUACGUGCCAGCAGCCGCGGUAAUACGUAGGUGGCAAGCGUUGUCCGGAAUUACUGGGCGUAAAGGGCGUGUAGGCGGGGGGACAAGUCAGAUGUGAAAUACCGCGGCUUAACUGCGGGGGUGCAUCUGAAACUGUUCUUCUUGAGUGUCGGAGAGGAAAGUGGAAUUCCCAGUGUAGCGGUGAAAUGCGUAGAGAUUGGGAGGAACACCAGUGGCGAAGGCGGCUUUCUGGACGAUAACUGACGCUGAGGCGCGAAAGCGUGGGGAGCAAACAGGAUUAGAUACCCUGGUAGUCCACGCUGUAAACGAUGGAUACUAGGUGUAGGAGGUAUCGACCCCUU